CUGAAAACCCACUAGUGCUAGGCCAGGGCCAGGAAAACCGAGACUCACCUAAUACAUCUUCCCAAACAAAGUUCACAGGGUGGGGUGAGCCAUGUCAUUCAGGCUUGGCGUGGCCAGGAAAAAUAUGGAAAGGAAGAGGAUCACAGAGAUUCCAGAAGUCUUCCCACACCGACUUUCCUCUGGGGUAUAAAUUAAUGUAAAACGGAUCCUGGACCAGAAAAAUUCCUAGAGCGCCAGCAAGAAACAAAUGUAAAGUUCUCCAUAGCAAGACUGCCACAAUUUCCAGCUCCC